UACAGAGGGUGCAAGCGUUGUCCGGAAUUACUGGGCGUAAAGCGUGUGUAGGCGGCCUCGUAGGUCGGAUGUGAAAGCUCUCGGCUCAACCGGUAAAGUGCAUUCGAAACCAGGAGGCUUGAGUGUCGGAGAGGAAGGCGGAAUUGUCGGUGUAGAGGUGAAAUUCGUAGAUAUCGAGAGGUACACCUGCGGCGAAAGCGGCCUUCUGGACGAACACUGACGCUGAGACACGAAAGCGUGGGGAGCAAACAGG
rnacentral:rRNA from 1 species